rnacentral:lncRNA from 1 species
AUGACCCACCAAACUCAUGCCUAUCAGAUGGGCCAAGCCUAGCCCCUGACCACUGAUGGGAGCCCUUUCAGCACUACUAGUAGCAUCCAGCCUAGCCAUAUGAUUUCAUUCUAACUCUGCUACCCUCCUGACUCCGCUACCCCUCCCUUCCCUUCCCUUCCCUACUAACCAAUACAUUAAUAACAUAUCAAUUGAUGAUGUGAUAUUAUCUGAGAAGGCACAUUCCAAGGCCACCAUACAUCAAUCAUCCAAAAAGUUCUUCCAUAUGGAAUGAUCUUAUUCAUUGUUUCAGAGGUGCUCUUCUUCACUGGUUUCUUCUGAGCGUUCU